rnacentral:lncRNA from 10 species
CCUGAGAACAGUGCCAGCAGCUGGCUUCGUGACAUUCUGGAAGCCCCGUGCAAUGCUGUCAGGAGCAUAGGGAUUUUACUUUAUCUCCCUUGCUUAUGCUCCACAUAACUGAAAUAUCUCACUGGAAGCUGCAGCAGUGCUGGCCCCUUGCACAGCCAUAUGUGACCACUGCAGAACAAUCAGUUGGAGAGACAGUUUGGACUACAUGGAGGGUGGAGAUAAGGACAAAGUGAAGAAUACACAGGAACCAGUGCCUCCUCCUGGAACUAUGCAACUCCAAGCUGCUUCCAUCAGCUGCUAGGUCCAGUAGGGAGGGACCUACUGAGAGGUGAUUGGAUUAUGGGGGCGGUUUCCCCCAUGCUGUUCUCAUGAUCGUGAACAGGAAACGCCACGAAGUGUCUGGAUCAAAGAACAGACUAUUGCUCACAGAGCACCUUCAUAGCAUUGUUCCUCAUGCCCCCGUUGCCCAAGGGGAUGGCAGGUUGAGGACCAGAUGUACUUGCAUGUUCAGGGGAUGCAGCACAGAAGAGGAACUCCAAAAUUAUUAUUAUUAUUGUUAUUAUUAUUAUUUUUGAGAUGGAGUCUCGCUCUGUCGCCCAGCCUGGAGUGCAGUGGCGUGAUCUCGGCUCACUGCAAGCUCCGCCUCCCGGGUUCACGCCAUUCUCCUGCCUCAGCCUCCCGAGUAGCUGGGACUACAGGCACGCACCGCCACGCCCUGUUAAUUUUUUUUGUAUUUUUUUUUAGUAGAGACAGGGUUUCACCGUGUUAGCCAGGAUGGUCUUGAUCUCCUGACCUCGUGAUCCACCCGCCUCGGCCUCCCAAAGUGCUGGGAUUACAGGCGUGAGCCACCGCGCCCGGCCGAACUCCAAAAUUAUUAAACUCUGAGCGUCUGCAGGUGACUGACACAUCUGCGCUUCCUUUCUUCCAGGGUGUGGGGAAGAGCGAGAAAAAGAUUUCCGCUCUGGAAGGUAAACAAAUACUCUCUGGAGAGAGAAGAGGAAUGUCCCUAGCAGAUGUCUCCAGAGAAGACAAGACUUUAAAUUCCGCCAGGGAAAUAUACAAUGUCUAACUUCUAAGGCACAUUUGCCAUUCAAUCAUGCUUUAACCCACGUUGCCAGAAAUUUUUGCUCACUAGGUUUUGACUGUACAGGAAUGUGAAAAUAUUCAUGAAGAGUUGUUUUCCAAUGCUAAAGAAUUGAUGUGUUUUAACAGUUGAAUUAAUUGUAUUGAUUAUGAUCACACCUACUUUUUAUAUAUCUUCAUUUCUAACGUUUCUGUACAAUCCUGCCUUUCCACCUGAUAUAGUUAGGCCUUGUGUCAUCAACCAAAUCUCAUCUUGAAUUGUAAUCGCCAUAAUCCCCACGUAUUUAGGGAGAGACCUGGAGGGAGGUGUUUGGAUCAUGGGGGCGGUUUCCCGCAUGCUGUUCUCAUGACCAUGAGAGUAAGUUCUCAAGAGAUCUGAUGGUUUUAUAAGCGUCUGUCAUUUCCACUGCUUGCACUUCUGUGUCCUGCCACCUUGUGAAGAAGGACGUGGUUGCUUCCCCUUCCACCAUGAUUGUGUUUCCUGAGGCCUCCCCAGCCUUGCAGAGCUGUGAGUCAAUUAAACCUCUUUCCUUUAUAAAUUACUCAGUCUCUGUAUUCCUCUGCAGCAGUGUGAGAACAGACUAAUACAUCACCACUUUAUUUACUUUACUCUCUCCCCAUACCGAGGUUUUCUACAUUUUCUUUCUAGGUCUCUACAGUUUCUGCAAAGAUCCUUUAUGGAACUCUUAGGGAAGCUGGGAUGUAUAAUAAAUAAAGGGCUCUUUUCUUUGAGUCCCACACCCAUUUUCUGUGUAUAAAAAUCUUCAACUCCACUUUUGUCUGUUCUAUUUAAAUGUGUGCACAUUUCCUUCUAAUGUUGUAUAUGAAAAAGAGACACCUCUUAGCAGUCUUUCAUAGAGCAAAAUUUUUUACUUUGAUAAAAUCUAAUUUAUCAAUAUUUUUAAAUUUUAUGGAUCAAUCAUGCUUUUGAGGUUGAAUUUAAGAAUGCUUUGCCUAGCCCUAGAUCCCAAGUAUCUUUUAAAAAUUAUUUUUCUAAAUGCAUUAUUUAUGUUUUACACUUAAGUCUAUAAUCCAUUUUGAGUCCAUGUGUAAGAUUUAGGUUAAGGUCAAGAUUUAUCUGUUUUUGUUGUUUUCUCUAUAAAUGUCAAUUGCUCCAGCACUAUUUGUUUAAAAGCCAAUCUUUCCUCCGCUGAGUUCUUCCUAUAAGUUUGUCAAAAGUCAAUUUGGCAUCUUUGUAUAAGUUUAUUUCUGGAUUCUCUAUUCUGUUUUAUUGAUCACUGCAUCUAUCCCUCUUGAUUAGCUAGAUAAUAAAUCCUACAAUAAGGUAGAAUUCUUCCCACUUUAUUCAUAUUCAAAAUAUUUUAAAGCUAUUCUAGUUUCUUUUUAUUUCCAUAUAUAUUUUAGGAUAAUCUUAUCUAUAUUUACAACAUAUGUUGCUAGGAUUUUGAUAGAAUUUGUUUUAAAUUUGUGUAUCAAUGUAGGGAAGACCUGACAUCUUUACUAUUACGUUGAUCUUCCAAUCAAUGAAUAUGGUAUAUCUCUCAGUUUAUAGCUAUUGUCUUUAAUUUAUUUCAUCAUGGUUUUUAGUUUUCAGCAGAGAAGCUUUAUACAUGUUUUGUUAUACAUGUAUAACAAAAGAAGCCUUAUACACUGACAUUUUAUAUUUUGAACAAUUGUAAAUGGUAUUGUUUAAAAAUUUUGUUGUCUAUGAUAGAAAUAAAAUUGAUUUUUGUAGGUUUAUCUUGUAACCUAUGACUUGCUGAGCUCGCUCAUUAGUUUUUUUAUUGUGAUAAAAUAUACAUGAGAUAAAUUUCAUCAUUAUAAUCAUUAAGUUUAGACAUCAAUUGCAUUAAGUACAUAAAUGCCUUAUGCAACCAUCAUCUCUAUCCAUCUCCAGACCCUUUGCAUCACCCUAAAAUGAAACUCUGUGCCCAUUAAACAAUAACUCCCCAUUCUGCCCUCACCCCAGCCCUUGGUAAUUACCAUCCUACCUUUUAUCUCUAUAAAUUUAACCAUCCCAGGUAACUCAUAUAAGUGGAAUCAUGCAGUGUUUGUCCUUUUGUAACUGGUUUAUUUCACUUAGCAUGAUGUCUUCAAGGUUUGCCUAUGUCAUAGCAUGUGUCAGAAUUUCAUCCCUUUUUAAACUUAAAUAAUAUUCCACUGUAGGCAUAUGCCACAUUUUGUUUAUUUGUUCAUCUGUUGAUGGGCAUUUGGGUUGUUUCCACCUUUUGGCUACUGUGAAUAAUGCUGCUGUGAUCAUGGGUAUGCAACUGUCUCCUGGAGUCCCUGCUAUCAAUUCUUGUGGGUAUAUACCCAGAAGUGGAAUUGUUGCAACAUAUAGUAAUUCUAUGUUUAAUUUUUUGAGGACCUGCCAUAAUGUUUUCCACAGUAGCUACAUUGUCUUAUAUUCCCAUUAAGAGUUCCAAUUUCCUCACAUCUUCACCAAUACUUAUUGUUUUCUGUUUUUUUAAAUAAUAGCCAUCAUAAUAAAAGUAACAUGGUAUCUCAUUGUGGUUUUAACUGCAUUUCCCUUUUUACUGGAUUGUUUGUAAUAUUGCUGUAAUUGAGUUGUAGGAGUUUUUAAAUAUGUUCUGAAUAAUUAAUUUCUUAUCAGAUAUGUCAUUUGCAAAUAUUUUCUGCCAUUCUCUGGGUUGUCAUUUCACUCUCUUGAUAGUGUCCUUUGAUGCACAGAAGUUUUGAAAUUUGAUAAAGUUUAAUUUGCGU